UACGGAGGGUGCAAGCAUUAAUCGGAUUUAUUGGGCGUAAAGGGCGCGUAGGCGGGAAUGUAAGUCAGAUGUGAAAUCCCGGGGCUCAACCCCGGAACAGCAUUUGAAACUGCAUACCUAGAGGGUAGUCGGAGAAAACAGAAUUCCACAAGUAGCGGUGAAAUGCGUAGAUAUGUGGAAGAAUACCGGUGGCGAAGGCGGUUUUCUAGAUUAUACCUGACGCUGAGGCGCGAAAGCAAGGGGAUCAAACAGG
rnacentral:rRNA from 1 species